CCUCUCAUGGCGGAAGGGAUAGCGCGCCCUAACUAGAGAUCAGGGGGUCGUGAGUUCGAUUUUCACUGAGAAGA
rnacentral:tRNA from 1 species